UCUUGCUUUCGCAUCUGCGCCGUGCCACGCAUCGGUCACGGGCAGCCCCUUCACCACCAGCCUGCACCACCGCCUGCCACCCCAAAUCCGUGAGCCCCUCAGUAUUUUCUUCCCCACUCCCUCUGCGAAGGCUUUUCAGCCAUGGGUGCGCCUCGCCGCCGCUGGUGGCCAAUGGUAGCAUGCCACGCGUGGCUCUCGCACAGACUCCACACCGUCCACCACCCCCAUUCAAAAUCGGCACUGCGAAUGUUGAGAACCCCCCACUCAGCCUAUAAAUAGGCCGAGUUCUCCACCCCUCGAAUCACCACGAAAAUCCAUUCUCUCCUUCUCUAAACCUAGAUCUAGAGAUUCCCCACCCUUAGAUCUAGAUCCCGAAGUCUUUAGGAGUGUUUUUCGCAGUCCGCCGCCACACCAGCUGGCUUUGCAAGGCCGUGCACCCACCUUCCUUUUCCCGCCGUCCCUAUCACUCAGAUCCACCCAACCUGAGAGUAGCCCAUCCCCACCUCUGCUCCGCCGUGUCCCACUGUAGCAACCCCCUCCUCCACCCUCUAGCUCCCCAGAUCCGACACCCUCUUCGUAAAAAACCCACCAAAAGCCCUCUGGUCCGCCAUUUUGGUCGUCACCUCGGUGAGCCAAAUCUGCCAUGAGUUGCUUACUAGUUUCCUGUUUACGUUUCGUUUAGGCGGCACGCGCAUUUGUCCAAUCGCGGGACCCCAUAGACCGACGCGCCCUCAAUCAUCCAGAUUUGCCCGUCCGCGUCAAACUGGGUUUUCAAGUAUUGGCAAUAACAUGUGGGUACAUGCGUAUCACGACCUUAAGUCGAGAUGAGGAAUUGUCUUUGUGGAGCUUUUCUGAUCACUCGAAUGUAAUAAACUGAGUGAUGUCUCCAGGGCUGUCGCUAGGUGACAGUUGGAUCGGCCAAGAUGGUAACGGUCUUGGCAUGCCUUUUAGUCUCUUGCUGGCGGAGCCUAGAGGAUGCUUAGUCACAGUACGCGUUGGGUGCUGAGUUGGGUGUCGCUCGUUAUGAAGUCACAUAUACGAAGAGAGUCAGAGUGUAUAGAUAGUCCCGAAGGGAGGCCAUAGUGUACACGAUAAUAAAUGGUUGUGUUUUGGGCCAAAGGAAUUUUUGGCAUGCGUGUUCUAUUUAGAUGUGCUAUUUUUUGGAAAUGGUAAAAAAAUGGAUAUUAUGCUCUUUUGCUUGUAAGGCUGUCAUAUUUUUGUUGGUUGUAUAAGUGCAUGUCUUGAACUCUUGAUUGUCGCAUGUUGAUUACUUAUUGAUAUUGUGAAAUCUCAUUAUGGUAUUUCUACUGACGGUUCCAUUUUAUGGAAUCGUAGACUUUGAUGCAGAUGAGGAAUUAGAGCCGGAGGUAUCGAGAGGAGUGAUUGGUGUGUUGAUUUCUAUUUCUUAUAUGUAUUUGUCACGGUUGUUAUUACUUUAUUUAUAUUUUCAGUCGUAUGAUUGUAUAACCUCUCGGAGGAUUAUUACUAUUUUGGGUUGUACUAUUUUAAAUUUUUUGACACUUAGCUUGACUACCUUUUAUUUU